CACCCAUGGAGAAUUAUGACUGGAGUUCAUACUUGGGUGGAACGGUGAAGAUAAAGCUUUAUCUCGGUGUCAGAAUUAUCAUGGCCGGAAGAGAAGAAUAAAAAUGUAGGGAAAUGAACUGACUCGAUUAAGCAAUGCUAUCAUGGUUUUGUGGUUUUAAAUACCAAUCUUACAGAAGUAGGCGAGGAGCUGGCUCUGAAGCAAAUUGUGGGUUCUGGAGUUAUUACUUGGUUUUUCCGAUUUAGGCAAUGUUUGUAUGUUAAAAAUAAUUUACUAGAAAGGAACUGCCCACUUUUUUUCUUUCAUUUAUGUUUUCUACUGCCCACUUCCUGUCACUUUCAGGUAGGGUUGGAAAAGGCCUUCUCGGACACCAUGGAGGGCCACUGCUAGUAAUCAGAGACCACCCUUUCCAAAUCAGAGAGCAUAGCGUGGGGACGAUGGGAGUUGGCAUUGACUAGAUCUGAAGAGUGCCAGAUGAGCAACAAGGAAGGUUCCAUUGGGGGAAAGUGACUGGCCCCGAAUCCCCCAAUGAACUGCUCAGUUGAGCAAGGAUUUGAACCCGGGUCUCCCAAAUUUUUGGUUUACUGCACUAACCACGGCACCACCAUACUCUAGUGAAGACAAGCGUCUCAUCGUAAGCCUAGCUAUGCAAUGGUUGAAUGAUCUGUGGACUCUUGUCAUGGUUUUUUGUUAACUGGAAUAUCCCCAUGGGAUAUCCUACAAUUUAAACUGUAUAGGAUGAGAAAAAUCUGAGAUUCCCAACCCUGUUUUCCCUGGAGGACAUCUGCACAGAAAGGGGGGAGUUGGGGGGCAGGGGGCUCUGCCCCCUACCUAUAGAUUGGACCCCAAGAUUGUUCUUCACAGCUUUCCUCCUUAAGAGACUCUAAAUGUAUGCUUCAUGCUGGAGGAAAAAAGUCAGCAGAAAGUCUCAGAUUUUUAGUCCAUUACCAAAUCCUUCUGUGCUUUCUUUGUGUCUUGUGCUCUUUGCUCCACAAAAGGUGUGUGUGUGUGUGUGAGAGAGAGAGAGACUAGUUUUGUACACAGACAUUUUGCAGACAACUGAGGAGACUUCAGUGGGGGGAAAUACCAAUCUCUCUCAUAUCAGAGGAAGGAAAUUUCACCAGACUCAAGAUUUUCAAACAGCUUGUGUUCAUCUAAUGGGACAAUCUGUCUCAUUGAGAACAAGUGAUAUAAUUCUUUGCAUCCUUCAUUGUAUGCACCUUGAACUGUUAGUGGCAGUGGUGGUGACGAUAUGGAAAUUGUUUGCAGUUCCUCCUGGCCCUCACAUUUUUUGGAAGAGAGAUCCACCUGUGAUUCUCUGUCCAAGAAUGUACCGAGAGACGCCAGCCGAGACCUGCAAUACUGACCAAUAAGCAGAGAUGAGGACAUUUAUACCUUUUGGCCAUCUGGCUAUAGGAUUCCAGGUAACUCAGCCCCCCAAAAAAGUAACUGUUCUCAUCCCUGCUAGUAACUCAUUCAUUCAGGCUGUAAAACUUCACUUUGAGGCUGGGAUACAAACUAGAAACCUUGUGAUCAUGUUAUAAAGCCUCAUUUUUGGACUUCUCUGUUUUUCCACCCCUUCGCUCCUUUUGGUUCACUUACUCUGGAAAAUUUAGAAGCAUGUACGUAUUGAUAGUAUUCUGAAUAAUCAAUGAAUUACCCAACUUUUCGGAUUUAUUUCCUCCUAAUGGAUGAUACUAUCUGUUUGUUUGCUGUCUUGUUUCUACAUGUCUUACAUUUAUUGGAGGUAUCUCCUUUUGAGAAUGAAUGACGGCUUUAUUGACUUUCCUCCUGAAAUUUGCUUUUAUUGUUCACUAGUUUUCUGCACUCCCUACUAUAGCCAGGAGGUGGGGAUACAAUCAUAUCUUCAGUAAGAUGUCAACUUCUUUUUUUGCGGUCCUGGGGCCACAACAU